UCCAAAAGUUCACUGGGUUGAGAGUGGGGAUGGUGUCCAAUCGGAACAUCAAUGGAGCUGGAGCUAAUGCUGGCAGUGUUGUGAGGGUUUCCUUUCUGGGGCUUGUAGCAGGGUGGUGACUCGGGUUUCCUCUGUGGGGGUCUCGUGUAUCCAUCAGUGAUAUGGUUCCUUGGGUCUGUUCGAGCCUUGUUUGCUGGCUUGGUGGGAUCAUGGCGGCUGCGGAAGUGGGGCAGGGACUGGGAAUGGGGUCUGGCAUCAUGGCAUUGGUAUUUCCUGGUUCUGGGGUAUUUCCGGGUAUGACGUAGCUUUGGCAUCUGGGAUUCCGUAGUGAUUUAUUCUCGGGCCCUAGCAAGUGGGCAUGUUCAACGGAGGUGGGAUAGUACAUGCAGCUUCACAGCCAAGCCAAUCAGCUUCAGGCAGAGGUGGUCCGAGGGUUUCCGUGGCAACGAGGGGUGUGUGCAGUCCCAGCACGGGCUGCUCAGGUAACUGGGCAGGAGUGGAUGGUGCAGGUGGCAGGUGGCUGUCCGGGGGCUGCGUGACACUGUGGCACAGCCCCUGGGCAUCUGCCCAACAUGGCGGUGUGGUUUGGCAUGGCACAGCAUUUUGGGGCAACCACUGGGCAGUCUGGCAUGGCAGCACGGGGUGGUGCUGCUGCGCCUUCACCAUCCACUUGGGUUUAGCUGCUCAGUGGAACUCCUCCACCCCCCAAGGCUCCAUCUCUUUUAGGGACCUCUCCAUGUGAUGGGGUUGCUCAAUUUGGCACACCGCCAUGAGGGGCUCCAUCUCAUGGCAGGACUCUUCCGCCUGCCCCGGUUUGGCUGUUCUCCCUGGCUGCACUGCCCCCCAGGGCCUGGCCACGGGUCAGGAUUGCACAAUCUGGCUUGGCAGGGCACGGCACUGGCACAGGGCACCCAUUCAGUACAGUGUGAUAGCACAGGGCAGCCAUUUCAUCCAGUGGCUUCCUCCAGGCCCUCGGCAGGGUGCCUAGGCCUCCUGACACCUCAUCUGGUACCCAGUCCUCGCCAUGCAUCUCAGCAUCUAACUGCUUCAACAAAUUCAGAAUAAGUUUCCAGGGCUUUAGAACCUUAAUGACGCUUUUGUUGCCUUUAGAAGCCGCUUUGAUUAUAAGUCUGACAUUCCGUACCCAAGUAUUUCUAUCAAGCACUGCCUCUUUGGUUGUGUCCAAUCCAUGGUUCUUAGCGCAGGUUAGCAAGGCUAAUAAAGCCUGCUCCUUAUAAUUUAUCACCCAUUCAGGUAGAAAACUAGUCCAUACAUUCAUAGCUGGGUGUUCUUCUACCAAGAUCCACCCACCCAUGUCUUCGGCAGCAGUUUUCUUCUAUUUUCAGGGGUAUUUAUAAAGGAAUCUGGAUUUCAGUGGUUUUUUACUGCAGAAGGCUUUGCCCGCCUCUUGGUUUUUCAGGUUUUACAUUUCUGGUUAGGCUCUAUUCGCCUUUGUCUAUCUCCCCUGCUCUUGCACACAGAAAUGGCUGCGUCGAUCACGUUGGUGUCACCACAUAUUACAUUAUGGUCAUUGGUUGGAGACAAACAUAUGACAGGACUCACUGAGGGUCAGCAACAAACAGCCCAAUUUAUUGUUCGGAACCCUCUUUUAUAGAGGGUUCAAAACUCCCACGCUAGAACAGCUGAUUGGUCAGGGUCUCAGCAUCAUCCAGCUCUCCGGCCAAUAUGUCUGCAUACAGGGUUGAAAAGAAUUGGCUAGGGUUCCCUGUUUGGGUUCAAAUCCAUCCUGAUUGCUCACCCAGGUGUAAGAGUGUCUGAAAAUCCCUCAUCUGCCUCACAACUGUCAGGAACCAAGACCCCCAAGGACCCUGGGCCGCAGCACAGGAGUUCUGGCCUGAUUGAGGUGGGACCCAGGCUUCUCCCUGCAGCUGCACCCACUGGACCAAGACGCCCUCCUCAGAGACCCAUGCAAGAACAAUGGACACUGUCACGGUUCCUGGGCCAUGUUUGCAGAGGCCGUGUUUGCUUUGACUGACUGUGCUGUACCUGCUGCAGAGCCCAGACCUGCUUGUCCCAAACCUGCCUCAUCUGAAUGGUUGCACCUGAUUCUCAGAGCAAUGGGCCUCCUCACAGUGACUCUUGGGUGCUCCCCCCACGUUGGCCGAGUGCCCCCCGCUUCUGAAAUGACUAUAAAAGCUUCCCCCUGCGACUCACACUUUGAGGCCCUCCCCGGAAGGACGACGGAUCUAUUGAUGCGCACCACGAGGACUGUGAAGGUGGUCUUGGCUUCCAGCGUCACGAGGACUCACGUCUGUUCAGUCGUUCCAGUUACUUCUUACCAGCUUUUACAAUCUAAUUACACACUGAUCCACAAGCUAUGGCCUACCCUGAUUGGGAUGAACCUCACUUUGGUAAAGUAAUUUUUGCUCCAUCAGAAUCUAAGUGAAAUUUUAGAUAAAAUCAAGAAUACCUUGAUAACAAAUUGUGUCAUCCCAUCGUUGUUCUUUUGACUUUAGUUUUGAUUGGCUUUGUUUUGCAGCAAUCUCAUUCUUUACUUAGAAACAAUAGAUAUACUUAGAGAUGUUGACACAAGACAAACUUUACAAGUAGGCCAUGACCGCGGACUGUGAAAUGGAUUUUUACCUAAGUAAGAUAGAGAAAUCUUAGAAAUACAUAUUUUUAAGUCAAUUAUGUAUUUUUGAUUUUUUUUGUGAUUUGUGUUGAUGACUUUUAAAAUUUGAUCAUGUUAUUUGAAAAAUUGUUUUACAAUGAUUUUUGUUUUGUUAAUCAAAAUUGCUUUAAUUAAUAUCAUCAUAAUAUUUUUAUUUGAAAAUUAUUUUGACUUUUUGCCUUGAAUAUUUGAAAAUUGUUUUAAUUAAUUAAUAUUAUGAUCUUGUUUUGAAUUAGUAUUGUUAAGAUUUUGUCUUGAUUAUUUGACUUUGUGAAUAAUUUAUCAUUAUGAUUUGUCUAAGAAUUUUAUUAAUCAAUAUUAACUAUUAUUUGGAUUUGUUUUAAGAUUUGUCUUAUCAUAGCGAUUUGUUUUGAGAUUUUAAUAAUCAAUAUUAAUCAUUGUACAUCUCUUGUUUUCCCUUCUUCUCCCUCUAUUUUUAUUCUCUCCGUCGUUCUCCCUCUCAUCUCUGUUUUCCGGGGUAUGAUACUGACAAUGAGUCCUGAAGACUUCAGAACAACGCAACGAACUCGGCUGAUGGAGCUCUCCUGACAACCAGUUGUGAGUCAUGGGGUGGUGUAAGAGUCUGUCUGAAAAUCCCUCAUCUGCCUCACGACUGUCAGGAACCAAGACCCCCAAGGACCCUGGGCCACAGCACAGGAGUUCUGGCCUGAUUGAGGUGGGACCCAGGCUUCUCCUUGCAGCUGCACCCACUGGACCAAGACGCCCUCCUCAGGGACCCAUGCAAGAACAACGGACACUGUCACGGUUCCUGGGCCGUGUUUGCAGAGGCCGUGUUUGCUUUGACUGACUGUGCUGUACCUGCUGCAGAGCCCAGACCUGCUUGUCCCAAACCUGCCUCAUCUGAAUGGUUGCACCUGAUUCUCAGAGCAAUGGGCCUCCUCACAGUGACUCUUGGGUGCUCCCCCCAUGUUGGCCGGGUGCCCCCUGCUUCUGCCUGCAUUGGCUGGGUGCCCCCUGCUUCUGAAAUGACUAUAAAAGCUUCCCCCUGCGACUCACACUUUGAGGCCCUCCUCGGCGGACGACGGAUCUAUUGAUGCGUGCCACCAGGACUGCGAAGGUGGUCUAUUGGUACCAGCGUCACGAGGACUCACGUCUGUUCAGUUGGUAGCUAUACCACCCUUUUCCUCUUUUCUCUCUCUCUCUCUCUCUUUCCCUUCUCUACUAUUGCAUAAUUGUGUGUAUCAAUAAAGAUACAAUUGAUUUUACUUGAA